AGCAGUGGCGGUGGCGUGGAAGCCAUGACCGCCACUAAACACUGCACCUGAACUGGCUGAUGUGGUAGCUGUUAAAGUCUGAAAGAAAAUAUAACUGUAAGCAGGUCACAAAAGUACAGGGCGAACAAAUAGUAAAGCGACGGGAUAAAGCGGAGGUGUGAGUCCAUCUGUCGUCACCGCAACAAAAUACCCGAGGAAAUGUGGAAAACCUUGUGCUGUCUCCUGCUUCAGAGGCACCAGCCCUAGGUCACGCUCAGCCUGGGCCUGUGGUGAGGUCCACCUCACAGCAGAAGUUUGUGUUGCUCUCUCACACCAAGGGUUUGAGAAUUUGAUCCCUUCUGCUACCUAGAAGCUGGUUGCCCCUAAGGUCCCUCCUUCCUCUAGCGUACCACUCCUCAGAAUGUCCAGAGAUGACGCUGCAAGGACCCGUCUGUGACGAACUAGGGCACUGAGGAGAGCGUUCUCCAGGUUCCUUCCUCUUCCUGUGUCGCCAUUGUUACCGUAUGACAUUCCACGGUAGGAGAGGACACCGAGAGUCAGGAGAGACAACAGCACACUCCGCCCAUUUCAAUAAAGAGAAAAGCAAUCUCGAGAAAGCAAACGACCCCUGCCAACCCUCGGUUGGAAUCUCAGGACUCUGACUGCGUAUGCUCUACCCAGUGGAAACGUUCGCCACAUGGGCUGGGGAGAUGACUGGCUUGGGUGAAGCACUUGCUACACAGCCCAAGGACCUGAAAUCAGAACCCCAGAACCCUUAGAAAGACUGGCGUGGCUCCCAGCACCCUACAGGAAAGUGGGAAGCAGCGACAAGAACAUUUCUUGGCAAACUGGGAAGGAGGAGGAGUCCCCAACUGGAACAAGGUGAGGGCCGACACCCAAGGUUGUUCUCCACCCUCCACCCAUGUGCUGUGGCAUGCACUAGUCUCUACUCACACCCACAAACAUAGGUCAUCAAACACAGGCUCGCAGUGUGGCGGGUGGGGAGAGGGAGAGAGAGGUGGGUUUUUUUAGUUUGGUUUGGUUUGGUUUGGUUUGGUUUGGUUUGGUUUUUUAAAGAACUUGAGAACCUAUGGGGCUUAAUGUUUGAAGAAACCACUGAAAUAAAGUGCAAAGAAAAGCCAUACUAGAUGAAGAGAAAGGGGACAACAUUUGAAAUGUAAAUAAAGAAAAUAU
ensembl:lincRNA Gm43270 predicted gene 43270